rnacentral:rRNA from 1 species
CCUACGGGUGGCAGCAGUAGGGAAUCUUUCACAAUGGGCGAAAGCCUGAUGGAGCAACGCCGCGUGCAGGAUGAAGGCCUUCGGGUUGUAAACUGCUUUUAUAAGCGAGAAAUAUGAUGGUAACUUAUGUAUAAGGAUCGGCUAACUACGUGCCAGCAGCCGCGGUCAUACGUAGGAUCCGAGCAUUAUCCGGAGUGACUGGGUGUAAAGGGAGCGUAGACGGUGCAGCAAGUCUGAUGUGAAAGGUCGGGGCCCAACCCCGGGACUGCAUUGGAAACUGUUGAACUGGAGUACAGGAGAGGUAAGCGGAAUUCCUAGUGUAGCGGUGAAAUGCGUAGAUAUUAGGAGGAACACCAGUGGCGAAGGCGGCUUACUGGACUGUAACUGACGUUGAGGCUCGAAAGCGUGGGGAGCAAACAGGAUUAGAUACCCCAGUAGUC